rnacentral:tRNA from 2 species
GCACUCAUAGCUUAACUGGAUAGAGCAUCUGACUUCGGAUCAGAGGGUUGUGGGUUCAAGUCCUACUGAGUGUGCCA